rnacentral:rRNA from 1 species
GAUGAACGCUGACAGAAUGCUUAACACAUGCAAGUCAACUUGAAUUUGGGUUUUUAACUUCGGUUUGGGUGGCGGACGGGUGAGUAACGCGUAAAGAACUUGCCUCACAGCUAGGGACAACAUUUGGAAACGAAUGCUAAUACCUAAUAUUAUGAUAAUAGGGCAUCCUAUAAUUAUGAAAGCUAUAAGCGCUGUGAGAGAGCUUUGCGUCCCAUUAGCUAGUUGGAGAGGUAACGGCUCACCAGGGCGAUGAUGGGUAGCCGGCCUGAGAGGGUGAUCGGCCACAAGGGGACGGAGACACGGCCCUUACUCCUACGGGAGGCAGCAGUGGGGAAUAUUGGACAAUGGACCGAGAGUCUGAUCCAGCAAUUCUGUGUGCACGAUGAAGUUUUUCGGAAUGUAAAGUGCUUUCAGUUGGGAAGAAACAAAUGACGGUACCAACAGAAGAAGUGACGGCUAAAUACGUG